ACAAACACACUCACACAUAUAGACAGACACACACACACAUAAAGAGACAAACACACACACACACACACACACACACACACACAGAUAAAGAGACAAGCACAAACACACACACCCACACACAGAGUCACACACACAUAAAGAGACAGACAAACACACUAAGCCACAAACACACACACUAAGUCACAGACACAGACAUACACAAACACAUUCACACACAUAGACAGACACACACACACACAUAAAG
rnacentral:lncRNA from 1 species